rnacentral:rRNA from 1 species
AUACGGAGGGUGCAAGCGUUACUCGGAAUCACAGGGCGUAAAGCGCGCGCAGGCGGCUAUUUAAGUUGGAUGUGAAAGCCUACGGCUCAACCGUAGAACUGCAUCCAAAACUAUUUAGCUAGAGUGUGGGAGAGGAAGAUGGAAUUAGUUGUGUAGGGGUAAAAUCCGUAGAGAUAACUAGGAAUACCAAAAGCGAAGGCAAUCUUCUGGAACACUACUGACGCUGUGGCGCGAAAGCGUGGGGAGCAACAGGAUUAGAAACCCUAGUAGUCC